UACAGAGGUCUCAAGCGUUGUUCGGAUUCAUUGGGCGUAAAGGGUGCGUAGGUGGCGCGCUAAGUCAGGUGUGAAAUUUCGGAGCUCAACUCCGAAACUGCAUUUGAUACUGGCGUGCUUGAGGACUGGAGAGGAGACUGGAAUUCACGGUGUAGCAGUGAAAUGCGUAGAUAUCGGGUAGAACACCAGUGGCGAAGGCGGCUCUCUGGACGACAACUGACGCUGAGACGCGAAAG
rnacentral:rRNA from 1 species